rnacentral:misc_RNA from 1 species
UUUGAAUCGAAUAUCGAGUUGAUCUUCACGAGUUGCUCUGAAGACGAGUCUUGAUCCAUGAUUCCAAGUACUUCAACUCCUCGUUGUUUAUCGAAUGAGCAAGACGAGGGUAAGCCUUGAAUUCACAAGUCAUACCAGCUCGCUCCAGGAAAGGCGGUCCUGCUUCUCCAGCUUCAAACAGUACGGUCUUAUCAGCCAUACCAUGAGACCACAGAAUAGGGGUCUUUUUAGCUUCAGGAGUUUGUUGCUCUAAUAUAGAAGCGUUAAAGGGGACCCAUCCGCUAAACACGGCACCUCCUCCUAGAGUUUUUGGGUAAAGAAGAACACUUGCUAACGUCAAAGCACCUCCUUGACUAAAUCCGCAUACAAAAACGUUAUUAGGAUUAGUGCCAGCUUCGAUCUCUUUAUCGAUCAUUGCAUGAACAUUCUUAACUGCUUUGAGCAAAUCAGUCUCAUCUUUUGGCGAACUAUCUGACACUGGUAUUUCAUGAAUGUCAAACCAUGACGGCAUGACAGAACCAUAGUUGCAAGUGACUGGCUUGGAAGGAGCAGAAGGGAAGGACCAUUUUGUGUUCUUGAACUGAGGGGAAGUGAACAAUCCCUUGAUGGGUUCAUUAGCAGGGCCAGAAUCACCCAACCCAUGUAGCCAAAGAAUGAAACUUCUAGCCAUGGCCUCAGAAUUUUUUGGGGGAG